rnacentral:rRNA from 1 species
GGACGAACGCCGGCGGCGUGCCUAACACAUGCAAGUCGAACGGAGCNGUUUUGGACGGAGACUUCGGUCAAAGACCAUAACAGCUUAGUGGCGGACGGGUGAGUAACGCGUGAGUAACCUGCCGUUCAGAGGGGGGACAACAGUUGGAAACGACUGCUAAUACCGCAUAAUGUAUAUAGGAGGCAUCUUCUGUAUACCAAAGGAGCAAUCCGCUGAAUGAUGGACUCGCGUCCGAUUAGAUAGUUGGUGGGGUAACGGCCUACCAAGUCGACGAUCGGUAGCCGGACUGAGAGGUUGAUCGGCCACAUUGGGACUGAGACACGGCCCAGACUCCUACGGGAGGCAGCAGUGGGGGAUAUUGCACAAUGGAGGAAACUCUGAUGCAGCAACGCCGCGUGAGGGAAGAAGGUCUUCGGAUUGUAAACCUUUGUUUUUGGUGACGAACAAAUGACGGUAGCCAAAGAGGAAGCCACGGCUAACUACGUG